AUUGAUUGCAGCGGGCUGGGGGAGGGGCCGACGACGAAGGCGGCGGUGGUAGCGGCGGCGGCGGCGGAGCCCUGGGUCGGUGUCUGCGCGCUGGUGUCUGAGGCCCGGGCUGAGGCCUCCGCGAUUGCUGGAGCGCAGGCGGCGGAGAGGAUGACUGCCGCUGCCAUUCUCUCUUGAGCUAGCGAGCCGCCGCCACCCUCCACCCUCCCCAGGCAGGGCGGAGAGGAGCGGCCGGAGUCAGCGAUGGUGCCCGGCGAGGAGAACCAACUGGUCCCGAAAGAGAAAUGUAUUUUCUUUUUAAAUAGAAAAUGCUGCUGAAGAACCUAGAGUCUUAUGUAUUAUACAAGAUACUACUAAUUCAAAGACAGUGAAUGAACGGAUCACUUUAAAUUUACCAGCAUCUACUCCAGUCAGAAAGCUCUUUGAAGAUGUGGCCAACAAAGUAGGCUACAUAAAUGGAACCUUUGAUUUGGUGUGGGGAAAUGGAGUCAAUACUGCUGAUAUGGCACCACUGGAUCAUACCAGUGACAAGUCACUU
rnacentral:sRNA from 1 species